rnacentral:rRNA from 1 species
GACGAACGCUGGCGGCGUGCUUAACACAUGCAAGUCGAACGGAAAGGCCCUGCUUGCAGGGUGCUCGAGUGGCGAACGGGUGAGUAACACGUGGGUGAUCUGCCCCUUACUUUGUGAUAAGCCUGGGAAACUGGGUCUAAUACUGGAUAGGACCAUGCUGUAGGUGGUGUGGUGGAAAGAUUAGUUUCGGUAAGGGAUGAGCUCGCGGCCUAUCAGCUUGUUGGUGGGGUAAUGGCCUACCAAGGCGUCGACGGGUAGCCGGCCUGAGAGGGUGGACGGCCGCAUUGGGGCUGAGGUACGGCCCAGCCUCCUACGGGGGGCAGCAGUGGGGAAUAUUGCACCAUGGGCGCAGGCCUGAUGCAGCGACGCCGCGUGGGGGGUGACGGCCUUCGGGUUGUAAACUCCUUUCAGCCAUGACGAAGCCCUUGUGGUGACGGUAGUGGUAGAAGAAGCACCGGCUAACUACGUG